UCCUGGCUGUAAACGCUGCGGGCUUGGUGUUGGGGGUCCCACGUGGGCACCCAGUGCCGGAGAGAAGUUGUUAAGCCCGCCACCUGGGGAGUACGGCCGCAAGGCUGAAACUUAAAGGAAUUGGCGGGGGAGCACCGCAACGGGAGGAGCGUGCGGUUUAAUUGGAUUCAACGCCGGACAACUCACCAGGGGCGACCGCCGGAUGAGGCUCAGCUUGACGGGCUUAGCCGAUA
rnacentral:rRNA from 1 species